UACAGAGGGUGCAAGCGUUAAUCGGAAUUAUUGGGCGUAAAGGGCUUGUAGGCGGUUAAAUCAGUUAGGUGUGAAAACCCUGGGCUCAACCUGGGGCUGGCACUUAAUACUGUUUAGCUAGAGUAUAGGAGAGGAGAAGGGAAUUCCUGGUGUAGCGGUGAAAUGCGUAGAUAUCAGGAGGAACAUCAGUGGCGAAGGCGCUUCUCUGGCCUAAUACUGACGCUGAGGAGCGAAGGCGUGGGGAUCAAACAGG
rnacentral:rRNA from 1 species